UUUUCUCAUCCUCGAGAAACGAAACUCAAUAGAGAAAGUCCAGGGAGCAGAACAUGGAGGGAGACUUCCAAGUGUGCGGGAACUGCAGAAGAAGUGUGGCCUCUGCCCACUUCACCCUCCACGAGGCCCACUGCCUGCGGUUCCUGGUCCUUUGCCCAGAGUGUGAGGAGCCCAUCCCACAGUCGAAGAUGAAGGAGCAUUUUGAAAAUGAGCACCAGCAGACCGAGGAACGCCAGCAAGACUCCAUCAAGUGCAAGUUCUGUGAGCUGACGGGGUCCCUGAAGGAGCUGCAGAUCCACGAGUCCCGCUGUGACAAGCAGACAGAGUGCUGCCUACACUGUGGCCAGUUCAUCAGGCUUCAAGUGCUAGCCCAGCACCAAGAAGUCUGUCCGGGUAGACAGGCUCAGCUUGGAAAAGAGAAGAGAAUUUCAGCUCCUGAAAGGAAGAUCCACCGUGUUUAUUGUAACCAAAAGUAUUCAGAAAAUGAGUACAUCCUCCAUAGGGGUAAGUGUUAUUCAGUCUCAGAGUCUGGGAAACAUCAUCCAUCUGGAAAGCCAAAAAUUCUUCCUCUGUCCCUUCCAAGUGAGCCUGCUGGAAAUCAAACAUCCACCGCUGAGAGAGAUGUUCGUCCAAAGACAAAAUAUAGAAACAAAUUUCCUCGUUUUUCUGAAAAUUCAACACAGAAAGCACAGAGAAACAAAAACAGAACCAUGAACCUGCCUUUGAAGGCUGAGCACAAGCCAAAGACUGCCUUUCUUACAGAAGAUGAGGCAGCCUAUGACAUUUUAAGGAGAUGUUCUCAGUGUGGUAUCCUACUUCCCCUUCCCACCCUAUGUCAACAUCAGGUGGCUGGAGGCAGGAGCUAGGAGGAGCCAUCUCUGAGCUGAGCAAAAAAGGAGAAAUGCCUGCGGUUAGCUUCAUGGAAAGGAAAACAAGUGAGAAAGUCCAGCUAGAUUUGGAAAAGAGACAUAGGUUUACCCAAGGGAUACAAAUGACCAAGAAGAAAAAGGAUUCCAGUUCUUCUGGCUGAGCAUUCUGAUUAGUCAUCUGGACUCAACAGCUGGCCCAUGUCUAAGAGACCUCAGCUUUGCCCUGAAGAAUAAAAAUGUCCUUCCUGGAA